CUGUGUUGACUCUGACUCCAUGGUCUCCACACUCCAGUACAAUCCUACCCAUGAAAAGUUCAGGAAAACCUUCAAAGUCAAGGGCAAGGAUCCAGCCAACAUGCAAUGGGCAACUUCAGCAUCAUGGGGACAUCCAAUACCGGGGUUGACAUCAUCCUGCCACCCAAAACUGGAUAACUGUGACAAGGUGGACAUGAAGCUGCUCAAGCACCUUCUCAGCAUCCACUGGCAUGCAGUGCCACCCUUGAGCUGA
rnacentral:lncRNA from 1 species